ACGCUAGCUACAGGCUUAACACAUGCAAGUCGAGGGGCAUCAGGAAGAAAGCUUGCUUUCUUUGCUGGCGACCGGCGCACGGGUGAGUAACACGUAUCCAACCUGCCCUUUACUCGGGGAUAGCCUUUCGAAAGAAAGAUUAAUACCCGGUAGCAUAAUGAUUCCGCAUGGUUUCAUUAUUAAAGGAUUCCGGUAAAGGAUGGGGAUGCGUUCCAUUAGGUUGUUGGUGAGGUAACGGCCCACCAAGCCUUCGAUGGAUAGGGGUUCUGAGAGGAAGGUCCCCCACAUUGGAACUGAGACACGGUCCAAACUCCUACGGGAGGCAGCAGUGAGGAAUAUUGGUCAAUGGGCGCUAGCCUGAACCAGCCAAGUAGCGUGAAGGAUGAAGGCUCUAUGGGUCGUAAACUUCUUUUAUAUAAGAAUAAAGUGCAGUAUGUAUACUGUUUUGUAUGUAUUAUAUGAAUAAGGAUCGGCUAACUCCGUGCCAGCAGCCGCGGUAAUACGGAGGAUCCGAGCGUUAUCCGGAUUUAUUGGGUUUAAAGGGAGCGUAGGUGGACUGGUAAGUCAGUUGUGAAAGUUUGCGGCUCAACCGUAAAAUUGCAGUUGAUACUGUCAGUCUUGAGUACAGUAGAGGUGGGCGGAAUUCGUGGUGUAGCGGUGAAAUGCUUAGAUAUCACGAAGAACUCCGAUUGCGAAGGCAGCUCACUGGACUGCAACUGACACUGAUGCUCGAAAGUGUGGGUAUCAAACAGGAUUAGAUACCCUGGUAGUCCACACAGUAAACGAUGAAUACUCGCUGUUUGCGAUAUACAGUAAGCGGCCAAGCGAAAGCAUUAAGUAUUCCACCUGGGGAGUACGCCGGCAACGGUGAAACUCAAAGGAAUUGACGGGGGCCCGCACAAGCGGAGGAACAUGUGGUUUAAUUCGAUGAUACGCGAGGAACCUUACCCGGGCUUAAAUUGCAGUGGAAUGAUGUGGAAACAUGUCAGUGAGCAAUCACCGCUGUGAAGGUGCUGCAUGGUUGUCGUCAGCUCGUGCCGUGAGGUGUCGGGUUAAGUGCCAUAACGAGCGCAACCCUUAUCUUUAGUUACUAACAGGUUAUGUUGAGGACUCUAGAGAGACUGCCGUGGUAAGAUGUGAGGAAGGUGGGGAUGACGUCAAAUCAGCACGGUCCUUACGUCCGGGGCUACACACGUGUUACAAUGGGGGGUACAGAAGGCAGCUAGCGGGUGACCGUAUGCUAAUCCCAAAAUCCUCUCUCAGUUCGGAUCGAAGUCUGCAACCCGACUUCGUGAAGCUGGAUUCGUUAGUAAUCGCGCAUCAGCCACGGCGCGGUGAAUACGUUCCCGGGCCUUGUACACACCGCCCGUCAAGCCAUGGGAGCCGGGGGUACCUGAAGUACGUAACCGCAAGGAUCGUCCUAGGGUAAAACUGGUG
rnacentral:rRNA from 1 species